AUCCUGGCUCAGAUUGAACGCUGGCGGCAUGCUUUACACAUGCAAGUCGAACGGCAGCACGGGUGCUUGCACCUGGUGGCGAGUGGCGGACGGGUGAGUAAUACAUCGGAACGUAUCCAGAAGAGGGGGAUAACGCAAUCGAAAGAUGUGCUAAUACCGCAUAUUCUCUGAGGAGGAAAGCAGGGGAUCGCAAGACCUUGCGCUUUUGGAGCGGCUGAUGUCUGAUUAGCUAGUUGGUGGGGUAAAGGCCUACCAAGGCGACGAUCAGUAGUUGGUCUGAGAGGACGACCAGCAACACUGGGACUGAGACACGGCCCAGACUCCUACGGGAGGCAGCAGUGGGGAAUCUUAGACAAUGGGCGCAAGCCUGAUCUAGCCAUGCCGCGUGGACGAUGAAGGCCUUAGGGUUGUAAAGUCCUUUCAGAUGGGAAGAUAAUGACGGUACCAUCAGAAGAAGCCCCGGCUAACUCCGUG
rnacentral:rRNA from 1 species